UACAGAGGGGGCAAGCGUUGUUCGGAAUUACUGGGCGUAAAGGGCGCGUAGGCGGCCUUCUAAGUCGGACGUGAAAUCCCCAGGCUCAACCUGGGAACUGCGUCCGAUACUGGAUGGCUUGAAUUCGGGAGAGGGAUGCAGAAUUCCAGGUGUAGCGGUGAAAUGCGUAGAUAUCAGGAGGAACACCAAUGGCGAAGGCAGCUCGCUGGGACGGUACUGACGCUGAGACGCGAAAGCGUGGGGAGCAAACAGG
rnacentral:rRNA from 1 species